AGUUUGUUUUGGGGUUUCAUUUGAAGUAGCCUAGUAUAAGCAUAAAGGUUGAAAGUUGCAAGUGACUGAAAAAUGGGACUGGUUCGUUAUAGUCGUUGGGCUUCGCGCCUCAAAACAUUGAAUUCCCAAACCAAGCCGUUUCUCUCCUCCUCCUCCUCCUCCUCCUCCGCCGCCACCACAGCCGACAAUGAGAACCCGGGUCGACCCGGACCGCCUCCGAUCCGAGUCGCUCUCACCGAGUCAUUCGGUCGAGGCGUCUUCGCGACCCGGAAAAUCGAGACCGGUGAGCUCAUACACACGGCCAAACCCGUUCUCUCUCAUCCUUCUCUGUCAACCAUCCACAAGGUCUGUUAUUUCUGCCUCAGAAAGCUGAAAACCACAGACAGCUCUCAAGCCGAACGUGUUUCGUUUUGCAGCGACGAAUGCCAACGACAAGCGAAGGGGUUUCAUGAUAUGGAGAUGAGAGAAGAUUGGUCAGCUUAUGAUGACUAUUGCCGGUCUCGUGGUUUGAAAUAUCCAUUACUUGUGAAGCGGUUGGCUUGUAUGGUCAUGUCAAAAGCUUCAUCUGCCAACCUUCUUGACAUACUCCAACCUGCUAGGUUAUCUCCAGAGAUGAUUGUAGAGAUGGAAGAGGGUUUUGGCUUGCUAAGGAGUGCCUUUGAAAACUCCAAUAUCAUGGGUGAACAGAUGUCAUUUUUAACUAAACAAUGGUACAUUGGUGUACUGGCACGGAUUCGCAUUAGUGCAUUUCGAAUAGAGUUGGUCGGUGCAUUUUAUGAUGAUCUCCUGUCAUCAUUAGCAGCCUCUAUAGAAUCUGAAGCUGCUGUUGGGAAUGCUGUUUAUAUGCUCCCAUCCUUCUAUAAUCAUGAUUGCGAUCCAAAUGCCCACAUUAUAUGGAUAGAGAAUGCAGAUGCAAGAUUGAAGGCCCUUCGUGAUGUGGAUGAAGGGUAAUUCUAGAAAUCAUUGGAGUUAAGGAUGAUAUGCUGAUCUUGAAGGGUGACAUUGGACCUUAAUUGGUGGGUGUGAUCACCUCAAUUCGAGGGAUAUCUAGAAUUAUGACCUACAGUGAAGAGCUCCGGAUCUGCUAUAUCGAUGCAAGCAUGGAUCAUGAUGCUCGGCAGAGUUUCCUGUCCCAGGGGUUUGGUUUUCAGUGCAAUUGUCUUCGAUGUCUGUCUGGUGAUUAAGGGUGUUAUUUGAGAAUCUGGCUUUUAAUUAAUGAAUUAAUUUUAAAUUUAGGAGGGAGUUUCAAAUAUGAGACCUCUUCCAAUCUUUUGGAUGAUAAAUUUAGUUUUUUAAUUAACAUUUUGCUAUAGCUUCAGUUAUGAAGGUAAUAAUACCGGAUUUUCGGGCA